rnacentral:rRNA from 1 species
UGACGGUAUCAUAUGAAUAAGCACCGGCUAACUCCGUGCCAGCAGCCGCGGUAAUACGGGGGGUGCAAGCGUUACUCGGAAUCACAGGGCGUAAAGAGCAUGUAGGCGGGUGAAUAAGUUGGAAGUGAAAUCCUAUAGCUUAACUAUAGAACUGCUUCCAAAACUGUUCACCUUGAGUAUGGGAGAGGUAGAUGGAAUUUCUGGUGUAGGGGUAAGAUCCGUAGAGAUCAGAAGGAAUACCGAUUGCGAAGGCGAUCUACUGGAACAUUACUGACGCUCAGAUGCGAAAGCGUGGGGAGCAAACAGGAUUAGAUACCCUGGUAGUCCACGCCCUAAACGAUGUACACUAGUUGUUGCUACACUAGAUAUGGCAGUAAUGCAGUUAACACUUUAAGUGUACCGCCUGGGGAGUACGGUCGCAAGAUUAAAACUCAAAGGAAUAGACGGGGACCCGCACAAGCGGUGGAGCAUGUGGUUUAAUUCGACGAUACGCGAAAAACCUUACCUGGCCUUGACAUAGUAGGAAUCUUUAAGAGAUUAGAGAGUGCUAGCUUGCUA